CGAAUCCGUUGCACUAUCGUUAACUGAAUACAUAGGUUAACGAGGCGAACCGGGGGGAACUGAAAACAUCUAAGUACCCCGAGGAAAAGAAAUAACCGAGAUUCCCCCCAGUAGCGGCGAGCGAACGGGGGAGCAGCCCCGGAGUCUGAAUCAGCUUGUGUGUUAGUGGAACGGUCUGGAAAGUCCGACGGUACAGGGUGAUAGUCCCGUACACGAAAAUGCACAGGUUGUGAACUCGAAGAGUAGGGCGGGACACGUGGUAUCCUGUCUGAAUAUGGGGGGACCAUCCUCCAAGGCUAAAUACUCCUGACUGACCGAUAGUGAACCAGUACCGUGAGGGAAAGGCGAAAAGAACCCCGGCGAGGGGAGUGAAAWAGAWCCUGAAACCGURURCRUACAARMAGUSGGAGCCUCKUUAUGGGGUGGACKGCGUACCUUUUGUAUAAUGGGUCAGCGACUUAUAUUCUGUAGCAAGGUUAACCGUAUAGGG
rnacentral:ncRNA from 1 species